GCAAAGAUUACCCCUGGUACCUUUGCAUAAUGAAUUAACUAGUAUAAGACUUAACAAAAUGAAUUUUAGCUAAGCAGCCCGAAACCAGACGAGCUACUCACAAACAGUUUACCAAGAACUAACUCAUCUAUGUGGCAAAAUAGUGAGAAGAUUUGUAAGUAGAGGUGACAUGCCUAACGAGCCUGGUGAUAGCUGGUUGUCCAGAAAAUGAAUCUAAGUUCAGCUUUAAAGAUACCAAAAAUUCAAAUAAACCCCACUGUAGCUUUAAAAGUUAGUCUAAAAAGGUACAGCCUUUUAGAAACGGAUACAACCUUGACUAGAGAGUAACAAUUUAACACUACCAUAGUAGGCCUAAAAGCAGCCAUCAAUUAAGAAAGCGUUAAAGCUC
rnacentral:rRNA from 1 species